UCGUGAACCCUAGCCCUCUGAAGCCAAGGGAGAGGAACCCCGUACCCAGUACCCUAGCCCUCCGUCGUCGCCGCGGUUCCCAGGUCGUCAGCGCCGCCGCCGUCCCCAGGUCCUCUUCGUCUUCGCUGGCCUCUCGAACCCAGCACAUACUUCAAAAUGGAAGCUGGCAUAGAUAUGUUCGUUAUGCCUCCCGAGAAGGAUGAGGCAGAGGAAGAACCUGUACCGUACAAAGUCUUCUCAAAUACCACGGUGGGGGAGGUGCGCUACAUGAUUUCGCAACUACGUGGAAUUCCGGAAGAGCUUAUGCGGCCGAUGUUGAAGGAUGGUCAGGACAACUUUCUACUGAUACCAGAAGACGGUCAUCCACUGUAUCAUCAUGCCAAUUCGGGGCAUAAGCUGUACUUCUAUUUCCCUAACGACCCACCAGGGCAUGAGGGUGAGGGUGAGGGUGAGGGUGAGGGUGAGGAGGGUGAUCACCAUUGAAGCUCGUUAAUUAGUAUUUUACACAUCUUUUUUUUAUUUUGAAGCUCUUACCGAAUAUUCAGAUUAACGGUAAAAAAAAUCAGAAUUUAUCUUAUAUGGCUAUGACUGAUGUUACCAUUACACAAGUCACUUUAUUAUGUAUCAUGACAAUUUGCACAAAAAGAAUUAUUCCAUUUUAAAGUUAUUAUUUGAA